GUAGUUGUGGCUGAGUGGUUAAGGUGCUGGACUAGAAAUCCAUUGGGAUCUUCUUGUGCAGGUUCAAAUCCUUCUGACUACG